rnacentral:misc_RNA from 1 species
UACAGCGAGAUGCAUCCCAAAUCUAUAAACAAGAUGAUUAGACGGAUUAGUGAAAUAAUGUCAGUCAUUGAAACAAGCGAAAAUCCAAUGAGAACACUGAUGGAAGUGUUUUGCACAAGUGUGGUAUAAACAUGUUAUAUUCCCUUGAUGCUGCGAAGGAGCAAAGAACACAACCAACUUAGUAACAUCAGAAACUCUUGAAGGUCAGUUGUUUCAUGUUAAUGCACUAACUUGAUUCUUGCCUGAUAUAAACAAUACCCAAAUUCAUUUUAG